AUGAUUUCUAAGAGACCCUGGAAAGAAAUAUUGCUGCUAAUGAACUGAGGUGACAUAGGACAAUGCAGAGUUGAAGAGAGGAUAAUUUCUCCUUGUCUGCACAGAACGCAGCACACCUUCAGCCCUUCAAAGACGGGCAGCUUUGGCUGCACCCCUGGGCAGUUCCCUGGGUAUGCACAUUGAUGCAAUUAUAAUGUCCUCGCUAUGAGAUUUCCCACCACCCACGCUGGUGUUCACAUCUAGCGGCAUCACAGAGAGGUAGAACUAAAGGGAAGAAGUUGAUGGAUGCCAUCUGGUAUUGCAGAUGAUGACAGGUUUUCUCAGCUAUGAAGAGGAAAACUAACAGAUUCCUGAGUCAGCAACACAACCUGCUUGAGAAUGAGGACAACACAGAACAGAGCAUAACUGAGACAUGGGAAAAAUAGCUUUCAGAUCUAUAAAAAAGAAGAGGAAACAUACAUGGUUUAAGGUAGGAGAAACAAGCUAAAGAGGAAAAACAAAAAUGACCAUAGGAAGCCAGGCCAGAGUAAGAAGAGUCUGUUGUUUUUAACAGAGUUUCUCUAUAUUCCAGAAAUGUGUAUAGUACCCAUAUAUCCCUUGCAAGAUUGUUUUGGAGAAAUUGUUCCAACUAAAUAAAUAAAAAAUCAGUCAGAAAUGGUUCUGCUUGCAGAAUAUGGGGUGAAAAUUAGAGAUAACAUGCCUGAGAAUAACCAGAACAUAUGUUUAAAAAUAUAUUUAAAAAUACAUUUGAGUUCGUCAAAGAGAUAAUAUGAGAAAUAAUUAAAGAGUUAAGAUCAAGAAAGAAAGGUAACCUAGAUCAAUGAACUCAGAUUUCAGGGCCAAUUCUCCCAUCACAGCACCUGGCAUUUCUAGCAGAGGUGUGUGAAAAGCAGAGCAACGCAGCACCCAAAAUGAUCUUGAAACUACUCAGAUAGAGUAAUUCCUCGACUCAAAAAUAUACAGCAUAUUUCCGUGUCAUUUAGAACAAAAGCCACAAUUCUUAGAAUAGUCUACAAGGUUUAACAUAAGGGUGAUGUCUUAGACUUUUCAACAGGUCACAAGGCUGGGAACAUGGGAACUGGAUUUGAGGGCAGGCUAAAGUGGGAGAAAGCUAUAGUAACACGCAUAGUCUUUGGGUUGAGACACAAAAGGUCUACCCCUAGGAAUAAGCAGUAAAAAGUAAGAAAUCGGCUGAUCCUGGGAAGAACUGAAGACCACUUAAAAUUAAAUCUACAUGACUCUACAUCUGGGAUGCUGGAUUUCCUCACAGCCUUAGAGAGAAGUUGAGAACCAAACAAGUGAGCUUCAUUCUCUACUUCUGGGAGUUGGAUAAUACGUACUGCAGGAACAUAGAAUUAACAAGCAAAAAUCCAGAAGGCAGCAAAAACCAAGCAGUGUGGCCGAAUCAUUAGACCGGCGAGAGGUGAGAAGAAACAUACGAAAAAGGAAAAAAGAGGGGAAAAGACUGGAAACAUUAAUUGGGGUCAUAUUGAUAUCAUAUUGAGAAGUUUGAACAUUUUCCUAUAAACAUUGGUUCCCAAAUUAUUCAUAAAUUAGGAGCCCUUUUUUCCCAUCAGAAAUAAUUGUGAGCUUAGUGUGCUUAUAUUGCUCGGGCAGCAUCCUCCCCUUUGGGUAGCUAACCUUUCCACUUUCUAUUGGAAAAACCAAGCGACUUCAUUCCUCCCAUCCCUAAUUACCAACCCCAGUAUAUAUUCCAUGAUUAAAAAAGUAAACCAGACCCUUCUCUAGGCCUUUCCUUUUUUCUUUUCUUUUUUUUUUUUUUUCAAGCUGGAGCAGUAGUGAGGAAAAGUGCUCUCUUAAACUUGAAUUAGAAGCUAUAAGGACAAUGUAAGCUGGAACUCUUUGCAACCAUAUUUCCAACCAUAUAAAGAAAGCCUUCUACACUAGGCCAGUGAAGACUGAGAAGCAGAGCUCAAAUAA
rnacentral:lncRNA from 1 species